AUUCAUAUAAGUUAAUUUUAUUGCUGACACUGUUUUUCGGGGUCAUAAACAUGUUGUGAAUAUUUCUGACCAGACAAUCAGAAAUGGGCUCCAUGAGGAUGGUCAUCCUAUAGAGAGCCUUGUGCUCACUGCCAUUCACCGUAGAGCUUAAGAGGCAUUUGCCAUAGACCACCAGAAUUUUCAACUAUGCCACUGGCUCUGUGCUCUUCACCGGUGAAAGCAGGUUCAACCUGAGCACAUGCGAAAGACAUGAAAGUGUUCAGAGAUCCCAUGGAGUAUGUUAUACAGCUUGCAACAUCAUUCAGCAUGACAGGUUUGGUGGUGGGUCAGGGUUCAACCUGAGCACAUGCGAAAGACAUGAAAGGGUUCAGAGAUCCCAUGGAGAACGUUAUGCUGCCUGUAACAUUCAGCAUGACAGGUGUGGUGGUGGGUCAGUGAUGGUCAGGUAAGGCAUAUCCCUGGUAGGACACACAGACUUCUACAGGUUAAAUGAUGGUACCCUGACUCCUAUUAGGUAUCAGGAUGAAAUGCUUGGAUAAAUUGUCAUAAGCUACACUUUUGCAGCGGGACCUGGGUUCCUCCUGGUCCACGACAAAGACCAACUUCAUGUGGCUGUAGUAUGCUACAGUUCCUGAAGGAAGAAUGAAUUGAUAACAUUGACUGGUCCCCAUGUUCGCCUGACCUAAAUCCAAUUGAACACCUCUGGGACAUUGUGUUUAGGUCCAUCUGGCAGAGCCAGGUUGCUCCUCAAACUGCCCAGGAGCUCAGUGAUGCCCUGGUCCAGAUCUGGGAGGAGAUUCCCUUGGACACCCCCUGUCGUCUCAUUAGCAGCAUGCCCAGGCGUUGUAGGGAGGUCAUCCAGGCACUUGGAAGCCACACACACUGCUGUGCCUCAUUUUGACUUGUUUACAUGAAAGUUGAAUUGGCCUGUAGUGUUUUUUUCUACUUUCAUUUUGAGUAUAACUCCAAAACCAGACCUCCAAGGGUUGAUACAUUUGAAUUGAUAGUUUUUUGUUUUUUUGUGAUUAUGUUGUCAGCACUUUCAAAUAUGGAACGAACAAAGUAUUUAAUAAAAAAUAUUUCAUUCAUUUAUAUAUACAAUGUGUUUUGUUAGGGUUGCCUUUGGUUUUUUAGCAGUGUAUAUAGCCCCCUAGUGGUGUAACUAUUGCUCCAAAUUAACACUAUCAACACACCCUCCUUUCUUAUGAUAGAGUAAGACGUUUGUGAACAUUACAAGUCCAAUACAAAAUAUUUUACCACAAGCAGAAAUGUUACAACAAAAUCUUUAGCUGUUCAGUUCCAGUGAUGAGGAGGAUCUUGUAAUUAAUUCUUUGUUUUAUUUAGGUUGGUUUUGAGGAGAGGUAAAACUGGUCGUCAUCCACGUAGCAGUGAAAAUGGAUGUUAUCUUCACAGAAACUGGAACAAGGGGAGAAUGUAGAUGAUAAAGAGGAGGGGCCUCAGGACAGAGCCCUAGGGUACGCCAGCGGAGACAGGAAGGGGUAGGAGCCAAAUUUAACAAAUUUUGUGCUGUCAGACAGGUAGGAGAUAAACCAAGCGUGGGGUGUGUGGGUGAUACCAAUAGGGGGAAAACCCGGUCUAGAAGGAUAGUGGGAGAAACAGUGUCAAAAGAAGCUGUGAGGUCAAAGAGAACACGAAUUGAGAGUAAAUCAGUAUUGUAUUAUACAAGGAGAUUGUGAGUUAUUUUGAGUAAAGCUGUUUAUAGUGCUCUGAAGGGGGAGAGAACCAGAUUAAAAUUGUAGUAGAUAGUAUUUGUGAUGAGAUGGUUAUUGAGUUGAGAGGCUACAAACUUUUAGAAUUUUAGCGAUUGAGGGUAAAUUGGAAAUGGGGCGGAGGUUAUUGAAAUGGGUGGGAUCCAAGCCAAGUUUUUCGAGAAAGGGUGAAAUGGUAGCAAGUGUACAGUGCAUAUAAAUCAAAUUGAAGACACAGUACAUUAUGCAUAGUUUAGGGCUUAAUUCUGCACUUAGAUACAGGAAAGAUAUGAGAAAUGUAUUUGUAUAAGGUUUCGUUUCAGUAAUUACAUACCAAACUGUUUAAAAGGACACUGUUUAAGGAAUAAAUUGCAAGUCUAACCAAAAAGUGAAAUUAAACUGAGAAAUAACUCCUUUAUGAACCACUAGGGCAGGGGUGUCAAACUGAUUCCACAAAGGGCCGCAUUGGGUCCUGGUCUUUGUUGCAACAGAUCCAGCACAGACAGUUUAACCAAUGAGGUUUCUGCUAAAACACACAGCACCUGACUGCAAUCAACCGAUGACACUUGUAAGACAACAGAUUGGUGAAAAGGUAUUCAUCUCAAUUGGUUAGAAUGAAAUCCAGAACCCACUACAGCCCCUUGAGGACCGGUUUGACACCCCUUCACUAGGGAGAGCCCGAAUACAUCUAAUGCUACUUCCAUAUAUGUGUGUGUGUACAAUGCUUGUGCACUUUUAAAAACAGUGUGACAGAAUGCAAUUUGAUUUUUCUAAUUAGUCAGGUUAUUCUUUUACCAGGAGAGCCGCGUCUUUACCAUUCGCCUCCAUUGUUUACAAUGCCACACAAAAAAAUGGCCGCGGUGCGCUCCAUUUCAGUGGCUCCGAUUUUUCGACAGAUAGCCCGGCUACACUAGACCGGGUACCCCGAGUUGAAGAAAUUAAGGCAAUUAUCUGUCCUAGUGUAGACGUGGCCUUAGUGUCCUUAUGGUCUGAAAAGUUCUCAUGUAUCACAUGAUAUACUCCCAUUGUGGUUGUUCAUUACGUUUUAUUCACUAGGAGCAGAGGUAGGUAGAGUAGCCAAAGACUUUACUCAAGCAAGAGUAGCAUUACUUAAAAAUAAUAUUACUCAAGUAAAAGUAGUCGUCCAAAAAAUAUACUCAAGUACAAGUAAAAGCGUAUUUGGUAAAAAGAAUACUCAAGUAAUGAGUAACAUUGUGAAUAACUGCUUUUAUUUUUGUUUGAUUUUUUUUUUUUAAACAAAUUUUUUUUUCUCAGCGCAGUUAUCGAUAUGAACUGUUGUUAUAAUGAUACUGUACAAUAACUCAUUACAUAACCACAUUAAGCCAAAGAAAUAGAGAAAAAGAAAUCAUUGAAUUCCAAUGAGAAAAAAAUUACAUAAAUGAGGCAUUACUCGUCCAAAAAGCAAGCGUGCCCUCUGAUGGAGAAAAUAGUUCUUAGUUUGAAUAGUGAAGAAUUCCUUCAUAAUUAGUAUUUUGAAAUUAAAAGGAUCAUAUCCCCGGUUUUCCGUGGUCAAUCGGUGCCAAACAAAAACUGGGAGUUUAAAAUCCACACUUUCGAGUUAUGUUGAGGCCAGCGCUCUAUAUCAAAUACUUCAUUUUUUACGGUGCUUUUAAGACACCACAUGUUGAACAGGCUGGCGUGAAGAAAGAACGGCAAGCUUGCGUCUGAUUGGUAUAAUGGAGUCAUGUGAAUACUGUUGCGAUGUCUCAUUGGAGAAAUCGGUAGAGAUACUUGCUACUACUACAGCUACUCGGCAUCGCUGGCAAAAAAAAUAUAUAUAAUAUGUAGAAUAAAGAGGAAAAAUGUAACGACUCUUGUGUAGCCCAAAGUAAGGGAGGAAGAGAAGCGUUUUUUACUUCACAAAUCUACUCAAAUAAAAGUAAAAAAAAGAAUAGCUUAGUAAAACUACUCUUAGAAGGAAUUUUUUUCUCAAAAAGUUACUCAAGUAACUGAUUACAUGUAACGUGUUACUACCCACCCAUUAUUAGGAGAAAGCAGCGAACAGGAAGCCGUUAUGGGAGGUACAGAAAAAAAGGAAGCAGACAGAAAAGGAAAAGAACAAACAACAACAACAAAUACAUUGCUAAAUGCAUAUGCUACCUAUGAACAUAGUGGUGCUAUUGUUAUUGAAUUAUAUUUAUUAUAUAUUAUUAUUAGGGCUGUCAAAAGAUUAAAAUUUUUAAUCGAGUUAAUUACAGCUUAAAAAUUAAUUAAUCGUAAUUAAUCGGAAUUCAAACCAUCUAUAAAAUAUGCCAUAUUUUUCUGUAAAUUAUUGUUGGAAUGGAAAGAUAAGACACAAGAUGGAUAUAUAUAUUCAACAUGCGGUUCAUAAGGACUGUAUUUGUUUAUUAUAACAAUAAAUCAACAAGAUGGCAUUAACAUUAUUAACAUUCUGUUAAAGUGAUCCAUGGAUAGAAGACUUGUAGUUCUUAAAAGAUAAAUGUUAGUACAAGUUAUAGAAAUUUUAUAUUAAAACCCCUCUUAAUAUUUUCGUUUUAAUAAAAUUUGUAAAAUUUUCAAUCAAAAAAUAAACUAGUAGCGCGCCAUUGUUGAUGUCAAUAAUUACUUACACAAUGAAGCCUAUAAAAUCAGUCGCACCCAAGCGCCAGCAGAGGGCAGCAAAACUCCACAAAACACAAUUAACAAGUGGGCAUUUCACUGUACUGUCAUUUAAAUCUGUCUGAGCAGGGCAUGUGCGUUAAUUGCGUCAAAUAUUUUACCGGGAUUAAUUAAAAAAAUUAAUUACCGCCUGUUAACGCGAUAAUUUUGACAGCCCUAAUUAUUAUAUAUUAGGGGUACCACGGUUCAGUUAGCCCACGGUUCGGAUAUUAAAAAAUGAAAUAAACACUUAAAAUGUAAACAUUUUCGACUGUUAAAAUGCCUCUUAGCUCUUUGGCUAGUGUAGUGACUGACUACUGAAAUACACAGUAGUAAAAAAGUUAUUUGGCAAAGUAACUGGUGAUACCUUUUCAUGUUUUUUUUUUUUUUUUUAAUUAAAAAAAAAAAAAAAACAGUAACCUUUGCUAUGUUUGGAGGUCAUUUAAUGUUGUGAAUCAACCGUUAAAUUUGAUAAAAUUGCUCCCUUUUUUGCAUCAGUUCCCUUCUGGCUACUUUUGACAUGUGAAAAUUUGAAAACUGUUUCAUCCUUUAAAGAUAGACUCAAGUCAAGAUUUUGCCGAUUUAGGAGUAUUUUAGAUAAAAAGUUGCUUAGGUUGGCUCGUAAGGUUUACUACAACAGAGCCUUUCUGAGAAGUUUACUGCUCUAAAAUGGCAGCUGUUUACUAACCCUACUGAGUCUGUCAUUUCGCACGUAGUUCUAUAUGCAUGAGACAUCUAGGCGUAGAUUGUAUGUUGUCGGCUAAGUCAGGUAAUAUUGGAGCCACCUAGCCUAGCAUCGCGUUUGCUACAGCGUCUCAACAAACACUCUUCCCUCUCCGAGUCUCUGACUUUUCUCGCGUCAUUUAAGCAACGCAUUGUCUCGUUGCAGAAACGGUGACCAAAUCCGAACGGAUGAAAAAAAAAAAAAAAAACGUAAUGCACGAAAAACGUGCAGAUUUUGAACGUAAUGUACGGCGUACACAUUCAAAAAUGAGUGCACACUUGUACAAAUUACGACGAGACCGUACAAUUUGACAGGUAUGAAUUAUAGUACCGUCACAGUUAGGCAGUAGCACUCUGUAGCACGGGACGUCCAACUUCCAACUAUCAGUGGUCAGGGCGAAACUAUGUGCUUUAGCGAAAUCAUCUUCGAUGGCUUUGCGUGCCAUUUCAUAAAUGUCGGGGAUUACGUUGUUGGAGAAAUAUGUCCGCGAGGGAACAAUGUAACGCAGGCCAAGCGUUGCAAAUAAAUUAACAAAACCCGCCAUGUGUUUUCACUGGUGUCAUCUUCGGGGUUGUCCUACCCUGACAAAGUGAUAUCUGUGGGUGAUGCUGGCUGAGGUGCUGGAGUCAUGUUAUAAAAGUGUUGCCAUUAGCAUGGGGAACAAGCACUGAGCAAUGCUUGCAAUUUUUUUUUUUCAAUAUUUUCUCUCCCUCCACAUUGUAAUCCACGGGGAAACCAAAAUGUUGCCACACCGCAGAUUUGAAAGAAGCCGGUGCUUCCUCAAAAUUCGGUCUCUCCACUCCUCCGCUCGCCAUAGCUAUUUGUUUUCUUUCUUGUUUCACUUUCACUUCGCUCGUAAGCGAGAGAGGGGGUUAGUCGGCUUCUAUUACACAGGUGCUUGACAGCGAUCCGACAUUUACUUGCGGGGUGGUAAUUUCUCCACAGCGGUGCUUCACGUCACACACAGGCACACAGAGCUCGAUCAAUUCGUUCCAUAAGUGUUCGGAAUACAUUAUCUGCAAAACCGAAAAGGCGCGGUUCAUAAAGGCGUAUUGAACCGUGGAGGGCGAACCGAAUGGUUCGGCUUUGAACCGCAAACCGUUGCACCGCUAUUAUAUAUACAUUAUAAUUAUAUUUACCCGUGGACACCAUAUGGGGGCUUGGUAACCAAGGAGGAGGGAAGGGAAGUUGAAAGCAAAUGAGAUUAGGUGGGGUGGGGCGUAUACAAUUCUGGCAAUGUUAGGUGGGAACCUAGUAUAAUGAAAAUCACCCAUAAGUGUUGAUUGGUUGACAUCCUAUUCUAUAUUGCUACCUGAUUGCUAUACCUGACAUCUCAUUUAACUGAGUGUGCCUAACUGCACCUAGGCAUGUGUGAACCCACUCUGGUGUGCAAUAGUCCUGCAGAAAAGUUGAAAUGUUGCACCGAGUGGCACACCCCUCUGGUAGAAUGAAGGUAUAAAAAUAUUCAUUUAGCAUUAAAUUUAAUUUGACCUUUGUGACUCUAUAUGUUCCCAGAAAAAUCAAUGCUUUCAAGCUACACAAUGCAGGCAUAAUCAUAAAUAUGAAUGUGGAUAGUGUGCACACUAAGACAUCAGAAAUGUAUUUCAUCACAAAGAAGAAACCACAUGACACGAGCAGCUUUGUGUACAUCAUAAAGAAAAGACUUUUAUUCUAAAUUUAGUAGCACCGGAGGUAGAAAAGUGAGCAUGUUCUUCAGAUGGGAAGCAUGUUAGCUGAAGAUGUCGGCCUGUGUUCAAUGGAGCUGUGAAGAUGUACUAGAAAAGAACAAGAGUAGAGACAAAUGUACGUUUGCUGCAGGUCGCGGUGCUCCAGGUGAUAGACGGCGCCGACCUCCGCUUCCGCGUUGUGACUUCGUGGGGAAGAGGACGAGCGGAGACUUCAAAAGGAGCGUGAAGGUAGUAAAUGUUUGUAGCGCUUACAUUAGCAGGCUGCCUACUUUCAACUGCUUGAAGAACCCUGAUGAAAUGUCAGAGGCUUGCGAGCAAAUGAGUUCUUUUCGAUGGGCUUUUCGUUGCGGAUCGUGGACGCCUGGCAGGACCGAAUGGUUGUUUGCCUCUCGCUGUGUUCAGCCAGAAGAGAAAGACCGAAUAGGAACGUUUGUGUUCGCUAAAGAUGCCAAAUCUGCCAUGGCAGGCAGGUUGCUGCUGAGGAAGUUCGUGUGUGAGGAAAUGCACAUUCCCUGGACCCAGAUCCACCUAGGACGAUCUCCUCGAGGGAAGCCUUACCUGGCAGCACCGCUUAAAGUCGACACAGAGGAGCCCCUGGCCUGGAGCUUCAACAUCUCCCAUCAGGGGGACUAUGCAGUGCUUGCAGCUGAGAAGAGGUUGCAAGUUGGGGUUGACAUCAUGAAGACAACCAUGCCUGGUAGCAGCACUGUGCCCGAGUUUUUCCGCAUCAUGACUCGCCAAUUCACACCGCACGAGUGGCGCGUCAUCCAGUCCGCCGGCUCUGAGCGGCAGCAGCUCGCCAUGUUCUACCGCCACUGGGCCCUGAAGGAAAGCUUCAUCAAGGCCAUUGGCACAGGGCUGGGCUUCAAUUUGCAAAGGCUUGAGUUUCAUCUCUCCUCCGAAGCUCUUACACAAGGCCGUGUGCUCCGCCAGACCAGAAUGCACCUGGAUGAAGAGGAUGAAGAGGACUGGCUAUUUGAAGUGAGAGUGUUUACUUGACGCCGAUCAUCAUGUUGCGGUAGCACUGAGUGCAAUGAAGAAGCUAAACUGUACAAAUCCUACCUCAUCUCUUCCUCCACCCACUGCUUUCACACUGCUGUCGUUCAAUGACCUCAUCGCGUCAGCUUCACCUCUGACAGAAGAAGACCCGGACUACUGGGAAAGCUUCAAAGUGAAACAGAAGCACCUUUUAGACAAAAGGGA